rnacentral:lncRNA from 1 species
CUUGAAGCUCUUAGAUGAUCCUUUGCUGAACUGUUCACAUUUGUGAGGACUGAAUGCCAUGCUGUGAAUCAGCAGCAGGGCAAGCCAUAUGUUAGCUUCAUCUUGUAAAGUGCUGGGCAGCCUGAGCACCCUGGUGAGGCUUAGCUUCUCUCAACCUUGGGUUCAUGUUUCCAAGCCAUUUAAUAUGCAAACCUAAGCCUGUAGGACUAUAACAUUUACUGGAUUGCUGGAGAAUUCUAUGACGUGCAUGUAUAGGCAAGCUGCAUAAAACUGUUGUAUCAAGACCCAUUUUUUCCUGUGCUGUGCGUGGUUUUGAAAGUAAACGUGUUCCCUAAUUCUGAGAGGAUGAGAAGGCUGCAACUGCCUCAUGGACCUCCUCUUUCAGCCACCUGCCUGUCUUCUCAUUUAUGAAGCAUUUAGCUUUCCCAGAUGCAAGCCAAAUUUUAUUACAUAUCAUUCUGCACGUACAGUGCAUACCUUUACCGGUAUCUUGCUUGUUUAUGUGAAGACAACUUUGGCAGUUCUGUGUGCUGGUUACUAGCAAAGCUUUUAAAAUGCCAGCUUCAGCCAGAGUAGGAAAGUAGCUUUGUGGAAAGCUUCAUUAUUUUGGGAUUGGAAAUGGACAUGCUGGAAUAGUUCGCUGUCUUUAGAUGUUAAUUUAUAGGCUCAACUUAAUCCUUUAUGUGCCCUCAAAUCUGGAGUCUGUUAGAUGACUGUCUGCAGAAAUAUCUUUGGACUUAAGUGUGCUAGCUCUCGGUUUAUUUUGGAAAAAUACAAAGAGAGACCCUGAAAAGGGAUGGGCUGCCUUGCUGAUAAAUGGUUAAUAGCAUGGAAAUUUUAUUACAAACAGGUUACAGAAAAAUUAUGCUCUCUUCUGAUGAUAUGAACAGCUUGGUGAAUAAAGGUGAUAAUGAAAAAGGUGAAAUCAGCUCAGAAAAAUCACGUCUUUGCUCUGGCACUAAAUCAGAAAAUAACAGUUGGACAUUUUCUUGCUGGCUUAUGUGGAGGCAGGGUAAGGUACUGAACUUGAGCAUUAAACAAUGCGUUUUAAUAUGUUGGUUUUUCAUUUCCGGUAGAUUAAUGGUAGAUUCAAGACACCACUUCCAUUACCUUAUCUGUAUGAACUGGUGUUAGUGAACGUUAUAAAAAUCUAUUCUUAGGGCUAGGUUAAAAAAGAAAAAGAAGUCAGCACAUCUGUAAUCAUAACUGGUUGCUUGAUACCUAUUUGCAUACAAUCCUCCCUUCCUUCUGGUAUACUUUUUUACAGUAAUGCUGCGGCAG